UGAUGAAAGGGGGUCGUACGGCUCAGGCAAGGGUGAAACGGUGGUGUAAGAGACCACCAGCGGCCCGGGUGACCGGGCUGGCUCGGCAAACCCCAAUCGGAGCAAGACCAAAUAGGGGAGCGUUUGAGGGUGGCUCGCCCGAAGCUCCCGGGUAGGUCGCUUGAGGCGUGGGGUAACUCACGUCCCAGAGGAAUGAUCAUCACCGAUGCCGUAGCAUCGGCACAGAACUCGGCUUACGGCUGGCUCUGGCG
rnacentral:RNase_P_RNA from 1 species